CUAAUGUCACAGGGCCUUGGUGUACGGGAAACCGGUGUGAAGCCGGUGCGGCCCUCGCCACUGUGAAUCGGGAAGUCCGGCUCCACCCUCCGGUGACCACCGGGGAAGCCACUGGACCGCUGCGGGAGACCGCUGCGUCCGGGAAGGCGGAGCCGCGGCGGUACGACCCGUCAGCCAGGAGACCGGCCAGGGCGCGAUUGUCCAU
rnacentral:ncRNA from 2 species